rnacentral:rRNA from 1 species
GACGUAGGGGGCGAGCGUUGUCCGGAUUCAUUGGGCGUAAAGAGCGCGUAGGCGGCCCGGAAAGUGGGGUGUGAAAACCCGAGGCUCAACCUCGGGCGUGCACUCCAAACUCCCGGGCUUGAGGCAGGUAGGGGAGAUCGGAAUUCCUGGUGUAGCGGUGAAAUGCGCAGAUAUCAGGAGGAACACCGAUGGCGAAGGCAGUGUUCUGGGCCAGUACUGACGCUGAGGAGCGAAAGCGUGGGGAGCAAACAGG